CAGAGUAAUCUUUGGAAUGCCCUCCAUUUAUAGCAACCUUUGUUCUUGAAAAUUCCAAGCCACUUUGUGAAAUGGAUAAUGGUCCACGUAUUUACAUCGAUUAAAAGUUAGGAAGCAUCAUGAUGUAUAUCCAUCAAAAGAUUAUGUAUUGCAACGUUGAUUUGAAUGUUGGUCAAUUAUUGUUUCUACCCAGGGCACAAAGACUAUAUAUUUUUGGCCAGCAUCAUUAAAAAAAGAGCAAUAUCACCACAAAAUGUUUCAAUCUAAAUAGAUAGAGUUUCUGUCUGUCUUCGUUCAGCAAAAAGAGAUGAAAAUCUAAAUCAUAUAUUAUAUAGUGACAUGAAAUACUCAAUUACCACAUUUCCAUAGCCACUCUUGACAACACUACUUUCACCAUCACAUAUAAGUAACACAAAAUAUCUCAUAUCAGUUUCGACAUUCAAUACUAGCUAGUUCAACCUUCAACAGUUCAACUUACCAUAUGAGGCAAUCCAGUACUAUCAUGAUAAUCUCUAAUAG
rnacentral:lncRNA from 1 species